GCACAAGCGGUGGAUGAUGUGGUUAAUUCGAUGCAACGCGAAAACCUUACCACCUUUGACAUGUACGGAACUCGCCAGAGAUGGCUUGGUGCUCGAAAGAGAGCCGUAACACAGGUGCUGCAUGGCUGUCGUCAGCUCGUGUCGUGAGAUGUUGGGUUAAGUCCCGCAACGAGCGCAACCCUUGUCAUUAGUUGCUACAUUCAGUUGGGCACUCUAAUGAGACUGCCGGUGACAAGCCGGAGGAAGGUGGGGAUGACGUCAAGUCCUCAUGGCCCUUAUAGGUGGGGCUACACACGUCAUACAAUGGCUGGUACAAAGGGUUGCCAACCCGCGAGGGGGAGCUAAUCCCACAAAGCCAGUCGUAGUCCGGAUCGUAGUCUGCAACUCGACUACGUGAAGUCGGAAUCGCUAGUAAUCGUGGAUCAGAAUGUCACGGUGAAUACGUUCCCGGGUCUU
rnacentral:rRNA from 1 species